UGGGACGAUAUGGAGAAGAUUUGGCACCACACUUUCUACAAUGAGCUGCGUGUGGCCCCUGAGGAGCACCCUGUGCUGCUCACCGAGGCCCCUCUGAACCCUAAGGCCAACCGUGAAAAGAUGACCCAGGUCAGUAUCCUGGGUGACCCCUCCCCUCUAUUGGGCCAACUUCUCAGCCACGCCCUUUCUCAAUUGUCUUUCUUCUGCCAUUCUCCCAUAGGACUCUCUUCUAUGAGCUGAGUCUCCCUUGGAACUUUGCAGUUUCUGCUCUUUCCCAGAUGAGGUCUUUUUUUUCUCUCGAUCGCCUUUCUGACU
rnacentral:lncRNA from 1 species